rnacentral:ncRNA from 1 species
ACACGACUGCCACCGGGUAGCAACUUUUCAGGUACGCUUUCCAAUUCCAUUAGGUCUAAGAAGGAAUUGAGGAGGGGUACUUUUUUUGA